rnacentral:rRNA from 1 species
CAGCCGCCACGGUAAUACGGAGGGAGCUAGCGUUGUUCGGAAUUACUGGGCGUAAAGCGCACGUAGGCGGUUAUUCAAGUCAGAGGUGAAAGCCCGGGGCUCAACCCCGGAACUGCCUUUGAAACUAGAUGACUGGAAUCUUGGAGAGGUCAGUGGAAUUCCGAGUGUAGAGGUGAAAUUCGUAGAUAUUCGGAAGAACACCAGUGGCGAAGGCGACUGACUGGACAAGUAUUGACGCUGAGGUGCGAAAGCGUGGGGAGCAAACAGGAUUAGAUACCCCGGUAGUCCCUGUCUCUUAUAC